rnacentral:lncRNA from 1 species
UCAUGGUGUGGUUUAGUAAUUUGAUACCUCAAUAGUUGUUACAACACUGGAUAUCCCCUUUGUUCUUAUACACGGACACCAUUGUGCUUCACCUCCACUCCUCCGGCAUCCUCUUAGUCCUAAAGAUCACAUUGAACAACCUGGACAACCACUCCACUCCUGCCCUACCUAUGCUUUUCUAGAACUCCACCGGGAUUUCGUCUGGCCUGGUCGCACGACCUCUACUCAUCCUACGCAAAGCCUCCACUACCUCCCCCAACCUGAUACGCCUGCAGUACCCAAGGUCUCUAUGACACUCUGAGUUCCCCAACUCCUCUAACUCUAAGUCUCGAUCCCCUUCCUCGUUAAGCAGGUCACGAAAGUAUGCCUGCCACCUCUUCUUGAUUUGGGACUCCCCCAUCAGGACUCUAUCAUCCUUAUCCUUGAUGCACCUCACUUGGUCUAGGUCCCGCGCCUUCCUCUCCCUCACUUUAGCCAACCUGAAUAACUUCUUGUCCUCGCCUUUCUCCCCCAAUUCCUCGUGCAUGCGACCAAACGCCGCAAUUUUAGCUUCUGAGACAACCAUACUUGGUCUAGAUCUCGCGCCUUCCUCUCCCUCACUUUAGCCAACCUGAAUAACUUCGUGUCCCCGCCUUUCUCCCCCAAUUCCUCGCCAUGCGACUAAACGCCGCAUUUUUAGCUUUCGAGACCGCCAUCUUCGCUUCCUUCCUCGCCACCUUGUAGCUCUCCCUAUUCGUUUUAACCUAUGUAAAGUUAAUGAGAAUUUCCUCAAAUUAUUUAGGCUACAUAAUUUAAAAGGAAUAUGAUAAUUCUGAUUAAAAAAUAAUAUAAAGGAUUUUUACUUAUAUACCUAGAAAUUUCAGUAAUAAAUACUUUUAACAUUAAGAUUUCAAUAAAUCAAAGUGCAUAAAGGUUUACGUAUGA